ACCUCCCCUUUUACGGUUUGUUAACGGAAGUUUCAAAGACUCAUUGGUUGUGACGAAGGCUUGCGUCUCCUGGCUGCGUGGCCAAUAAAGGGCAAGAAUAAGGCGGGUUCGGCCUCUUCCUCGGGUGACGGAGUCCUUCCGUUGACGUCGGGCAACAUGCAACCCUGGAAGCCACAUGCUGAGAUGUAUCACAAGAUAAACAAACUUCCAUCAGCCUGGGUCCCUGAAGACCAGACCUUUCUCAAGCUCUUACAAAAAAAAAAAAAAAAAGAAAAAAAAACAAAACCCAGAA